CCUACGGGAGGCUGCAGUCGAGAAUCAUUCACAAUGGGGGAAACCCUGAUGGUGCGACGCCGCGUGGGGGAAUGAAGGUCUUCGGAUUGUACACCCCUGUCAUGUGGGAGCAAAUUAAAAAGAUAGUACCACAAGAGGAAGAGACGGCUAACUCUGUGCCAGCAGCCGCGGUAAUACAGAGGUCUCAAGCGUUGUUCGGAAUCACUGGGCGUAAAGCGUGCGUAGGCUGUUUCGUAAGUCGUGUGUGAAAGGCGCGGGCUCAACCCGCGGACGGCACAUGAUACUGCGAGACUAGAGUAAUGGAGGGGGAACCGGAAGUCUCGGUGUAGCAGUGAAAUGCGUAGAUAGCGAGAGGAACACUCGUGGCGAAGGCGGGUUCCUGGACAUUAACUGACGCUGAGGCACGAAGGCCAGGGGAGCGAAAGGGAUUAGAUACCCCAGUAGUC
rnacentral:rRNA from 1 species